GGGGCCAUCGUCUAGCUUGGUCAAGGAUACCAUCUCAGUUGAAUUGAUAUCAAUUCAUUUCAAUUCAUUUCAUUGAGGUAUUGGCCUGGGGCGCUGGCGGUCGAGGGUUCAAAUCCCUCUGGCCCCA
rnacentral:tRNA from 1 species